UUUCAGAUACCAUCGGUUCCAUUAAGACCUGCACUGAGUAUAGCAUGUAACACAGCAUUAAUGAUGAAACUAGGUUUUCUAACCUGGUUACGACUGGGAAUAUGGAUGGCAGUAGGUUUUCUGCUAUAUUUUGCCUACGGUAUGCGUAACAGUAUUGAGGGUAAGGCUGUAACGUAUGGUCCAAUGAUAACGUACGGGGGUGAGGCUGACAUGUCAACGAGAACCCUGGCCAGACUUGACGAGGAGGUCGUACAGCAACAGCCGGAGGCCAGGGAAGAAAUGAAAUCAUACGGCACAUAAUGGAAGACCAAGAAAGAGAAAGAAUUGUAUAUUCAACAAAACACAUUGCCAAAAGUAGAAUUUGGAAAGGAAACCGGAAGUUGACAAUAAUUGUCAGUGUAACUGUACAAGGAACCGGAUGUUGGUGGAAGCAUUGUGUUGCAUUAUGGGUGUUGUUGUGAGGCUUGUGCAGUGUUAUCUAUGUAGUCAAAUAAUUGUUAUAUUAAUUUAAACCAAUGCCAAAUAAUUAUAACUUUUUUUUAAAAUAAUCCAAAACAAGUCUUAUACAUACUUUCAUUAUUAAAAAAUCGCCACGUUGAAAUGGUAUCCUUUUUUUUACUGUUUAUUUUUCACUGCCAGUGAACAAAUCUCUCUUAUCAUGUUGUUGUUAGCAAAUACUUCCACGUAGUUAAAUCACUAAAGUAUUUUUAUUAAUAAAAAUUAACACUUUCUGUAGUAAGUAUAGAAGUCAGUACAUUUUGAUCCUUUUGAAUGGGACAAAAAUCAUAUGACAAGGCGGAACUGAUGGCCACGAUGGGCUUGGAUAACUAAAUGAAAUAAUAACCACGUCAUAGAAAAAAUAUGCACUUGAAAUUCAUUUAUUUUCUUAACAUCACCUACAUAAAUAACACACAUAUAUAUUUUAAGCAUUUUUAUGAUCAUAUUUUGCUUUUUAAAAUAAUUUUAGAACGUCAUUAUACAAUGUUGUAAGACCAUAACGUUUUAAUAAUUAUGUUUGAUGACGUCACAAAUGACAUAUUUUUCAUUCUCCGUAACUCCGUACUUACAAACCCAUCCUCUAAACAUAGUUUUUGUAUAUGCGAGGAAUGGAAAUCAAACCCAAAGCAUAUCAUUUCGAACCGAUGUACAAGACAUGUUCAAAACAGAACAAUAUGUUAUCCCUGUUUCUGUAUGAAAUAAAUUACCAUUGACUUAAUAUUUAGAAAAAAUAUUUUAUGAGUAUUAAAAACAUUUGCCAGUGUUAUAUUAUCAAUGUUAAUUGUUAUGACAUAUUUAAUCAAAGAGAAAAUAAACUUUCUGUAUGAACAA